rnacentral:lncRNA from 1 species
ACCACUCCGUCCCGCCCCUGUUGGAACGCGGAGCUGCCGAGCGGGCUGUCGGCCAUUUUGUGAAGCGGCGAAAGAGAAAUAUACAAGACUGGGUUGUACUUGUCUUUGAAAUUUGGUGGUUUUGAACGAAAGGAGGAUUUCUGGACUUUGUGGGAAGUAAUUGUGUUCAGGGCAUCUUCCAAGAUUAUAAAAAGUUGAAAGAACUGUUA